UUUAUCUUAUUUGCGCAGGAUAAGUGGGAGAUUUAGAAGCUAAUUUUUUGGAAUUAGUGGAGUCAUCCUUGAGAUACCACUCUGGUAAGAUGGAAAUUCUAACUUCAUACCGUUAGCCGGUUGAAAGACAGUUUCAGGUGGGCAGUUUGACUGGGGCGGUCGCCUCCUAAAAGGUAACGGAGGCGUACAAAGGUUUCCUCAGAUCGGUCAGAAAUCGAUCUUAGAGUGCAAUGGCAAAAGGAAGCUUGACUGUGAGACAAACAAGUCGAGCAGGGACGAAAGUCGGUCAUAGUGAUCUGGCGGUGCUGUGUGGAAAGGCCGUCACUCGACGGAUAAAAGUUACUCUAGGGAUAACA
rnacentral:rRNA from 1 species